AUUGAACCGAGCAUUUCGUUUAUCUUGAAGAAAAUCAAUCCGUCUUUUGGGAGAUCAACGGUCCAACCUUCGUCCUUACUUUCAAAGAGGAAUAGUACUAAACGUCGGAGAAGGAAUAAUGGUACGCUGAACUCUCUCCCGGGCAUAUCCAGAGCAAAGAGAUUAAGGAGGGAUGACAGCACAGCCUCGGUGGGGAUGGUUUAGACGCACCGAGUCGUUUAGUAGUAGAUGGAGGGGACACAAACCCGGGAUUCAAAGGGGUUGAUCGAUGCCCGCGGCUUUCUCUUAUCUUCAGAAACACUGAGUUGUAUUGGUUUCAUCGAUUAGGAUACGCGUCCCCGGACCAGACCUGUGUACACCUGGUGGUUUUCCAGAAAGCUACUCAAGUGCGAAUAACUUGCGGCUGUCCACUAUAGUUUGUUCUCAGUCAAAUAAGUCGUUAUAACACGGUAUUCUAAGUAAGAAAAUCAAUGUCACACGAGCUUUUGCAAUACGUACCUCUAUAGAAAAUAAAAUAUCUCUAGAAUUCGUUAGAAAAUAUUUUUUGUUUUUUGUUAUUCAUAAAAAUCAAUUUUGUGGUUCUGUAGAGAAACUGAUAUUUAGAUUAUAAGGUUGAGAAUUUAGGUAAAGAAAUUUAGUAAAAAUAAUUUAAAUAUAUUCAUGAUUAAAAACCACCCUGAAAGACUCUUAAUUACUUUCUUUAAG